rnacentral:lncRNA from 1 species
AAAUAACACGAAAUAAGUGGGCUUAUCCCUUCUGAAGCUUGUUUUACAGUACUGGUAUUUCUCUUUAGCAAAUCCUGCUGCGUUUUUAAGUAUUAUGAUAAAACAACAUAAAUGUCUUUGUGGCUAAAACUGAUUGUUUCAGAAAGAACACGGCUGUUUUAUUCUUGUCUUUUAUAUCCUCUACAUUGAAUGUUUGAACACAUUUACAGUUCCCUGGUCUAUGUGUAUAUCAUGGGUUAUUUGCUUAUGGACCCCACAAUUAUUCAUGCACUGAAGAAAGCAAUAAGGGGAGGAAACUCAUAUUGGUAAUAGCAGCACCCCAAAUAAAUAGAAAACCAAGACUGCAAUGUGCCUUUUGCAGUCCUGUCACAGAUUAAUAUGGCUCAUGAUAGAUACUUAGUUCUCUGACAGUUUCCCAUGGACCUUCGCUGGGAAGUUGAUAGAAAUUACUCCAGCUGAAUGCUUAAAGCAGAUGUUAUCCCAUUAAUUAGCUUUGGACCUGGGUACACUCGAGACUUUCCCAUUUUGAGGCCGAAAGGAAUUGGUCCCAGUGAGCGUGCUCUAUAUCCACAUUUAGUAUCAUCUCAUAAACAGCAGUGAAAACACAGCAGGCCCUUGAUGAAGAUACAUUAGCUUAUUUCUAAUUUAAAGUUAUGUUGCUUAACCUUAAUGUAAUUGGUCACUGGUGGCCAACUGUUUGUAUAGUGUGUUGAUGACCAAAGAGAUGUAAUAAAUUAUAAAACUCUCUGCUUAAAUGGAGGGAACGACUGCUUUGUUAAAAGCCUUGCAUGUAAUAAUGGUAAAAUAAUUACACCUCAAGCCAAAUAACUGUGAAGCUGUUAAUACUAACAACAGAGUUGUUCUCAGGAUAGCUCAGUUCAUCCCCAUUUAAAACUAGUACAUGAACGAGGCUCUUAUAUUUAGCCAAAGAGUAACUUUGAAUGUUCAAUCUCACAUUGAUUAAAAUAAAUGAGUAAGUUAUCCUGUUACAUUAUUUGGGAAUGAUGGUGAUGAGUAGUGGUGGUGGAGUGAAUUAAAAUAUGUAGCCAAUUGCUAUGGUUAACUAGGAAACAAAAAGUGCAAAUAAUUCUAUUCAGUACCUCAAUUCAUAGUCACCGCCAGGCACAUUUUUAAAGAAGACUUGAUUAGCUGGUAGAAUAACUGGGAUAAUACUCCAAUAUGAAAGUAAUUGACACAACUUUAAUGCUUAAUAAUGAAUAGCAUGCUAGGGGCGAAAUAAAGGCAAACUGUCUUCUUUUCUGAGAACAAGUUCAGACUUAAAAUUUCUUAGGCCAAAUAUAGUGAUUCCUUGAGGCUUGUGAGUUGCAACUCCAGCAUUAUAGGUAAAGUUACAAAUAUGAUUACAAUGAAAUACCGUGAGCAAUAAUAUUCGUGCUAUUAGUUUUCUAUAUGUUACUGUUGAAAAUCUGCUUCUCCCUCUCCAUAUUAAAGGCUUGCAAAUUUAGGUUAAAAUGCAAAAGUGAAAUAAACAUAUCCAUGCUU